rnacentral:antisense_RNA from 1 species
UUUCACCGAUCCCACCCACACCGGCUGCUCGCCCCCCCGGUCCUGCCCGUAGGUCGCCAGCAACGCCUGAGCCUC